rnacentral:siRNA from 1 species
UAUAUAUACAUUUUUGCAGCC